AGUGAACGCUGGCGGCAUGCCUAACACAUGCAAGUCGAACGGCCGCACAGUAAGAUCUUUCUCUUACGGUUGGCGACUGGCGGAUGGGUAACGCAUACAUCGCCAUCUACUUUUUCGUGGGUGAUUACGUAGGGCCACUUACGCUACUACCUCAUACGUUCUACGGCUGAAAGCAGUGGAUCUUCGGACCUUUCGCGAUUGUUUUAGCCGGUGCCGGAUUAGCUAGUUGGUGGGGUAAAGGCCCACCAAGGCGACGAUGCGUAGCUGAUCUGAGAGGAUGAUCAGCCACACUGGAACUGAGACACGGUCCAGACUCCUACGGGAGGCAGCAGUAGGGAAUAUUGGACAAUGGGCGAAAGCCUGAUCCAGCCAUACCGCGUGAGUGAAGAAGGCCUUCGGAUUGUAAAACCCUGUUAUUGGGAAAGAAAAAAAGUAGAUUAAUACACCGAUGUUCUGACGGUACCUAAAGAAUAAGCACCGGCUAACUUCGUG
rnacentral:rRNA from 1 species